rnacentral:rRNA from 1 species
GACGAACGCUGGCGGCGUGCCUAACACAUGCAAGUCGCGCGAGAAAAGGGGGGUAACUCCCUGAGUAAAGCGGCGCACGGGUGAGUAACACGUAGGUAACCUACCCCCGAGUCCAGGAUAACCUGCCGAAACGGUGGGCUAAUACCGGAUAUGACCACGGGAGCUUCGGCUCCUGAGGUGAAAGGUGGCCUCUGCUCGCAAGCUACUGCUCGAGGAUGGGCCUGCGCGCCAUAGCUAGUUGGUGGGGUAACGGCCCACCAAGGCGAUGAUGGCUAGCUGGUCUGAGAGGAUGGCCAGCCACACUGGGACUGAAACACGGCCCAGACUCCUACGGGAGGCAGCAGUGGGGGAUAUUGCGCAAUGGGCGAAAGCCUGACGCAGCGACGCC